AGAUCUUUCUAAAGGUUUAACGGGAUAUGAUGAUCGGAUUAUUCAUGCGACUGCAUGAUGUUCGUCGCCGAAUGUUACGCAUAAGGCGGGCUAAAAUCCUUCUGAUCCCAAUU
rnacentral:snoRNA from 1 species